CUUUGAAAGGAAAGGAGAGAAAGGUUAGGACUCUCCUUGACCAGAAAAAAAGAAGUACUUGAGUCUUAGAAUAUGCAUAUGGUAAAGGUGUUGUAGCUUACUUUUUGGCAUCUAACGACUGCUUUUC
ensembl:snRNA predicted gene, 23441